rnacentral:rRNA from 1 species
UAAGGAAUAUUGGUCAAUGGAGGCAACUCUGAACCAGCCAUGCCGCGUGAAGGAUUAAGGCCCUCUGGGUUGUAAACUUCUUUUAUAUGGGAAGAAAUGUACUUUUUCUAAAGUGCUUGACGGUACCAUAGGAAUAAGCACCGGCUAACUCCGUGCCAGCAGCCGCGGUAAUACGGAGGGUGCAAGCGUUAUCCGGAUUUACUGGGUUUAAAGGGUGCGUAGGCGGAUGAAUAAGUCAGUGGUGAAAUCUCCGAGCUUAACUCGGAAACUGCCGUUGAUACUAUUUGUCUUGAAUAUUGUGAAGGUAAGCGAAAUAUGUCAUGUAGCGGUGAAAUGCUUAGAUAUGACGUACAACACCAAUUGCGAAGGCAGCUUGCUACACAAUCAUUGACGCUGAGGCACGAAAGCGUGGGGAUCAAACA